UGACACAGGGAGGUAGUGACAAGAAAUAACAAUACAGGGCAUCCAUGUCUUGUAAUUGGAAUGAGUAGAAUUCAAAUCCCUUUACGAGUAUCGAUUGGAGGGCAAGUCUGGUGCCAGCAGCCGCGGUAAUUCCAGCUCCAAUAGCGUAUAUUAAAGUUGUUGCGGUUAAAAAGCUCGUAGUUGGAUUUCUGCCGAGGACAACCGGUCCGCCCUCUGGGUGAGCAUCUGGUUUGGCUUUGGCAUCUUUCUGGACAACGCAGCUGCACUUGACUGUGUGGUGCGGGGCCCAGGACUUUUACUUUGAGGAAAUUAGAGUGUUUCAAGCAGGCAUGCGCCUUGAAUACAUUAGCAUGGAAUAAUAAGACAGGACUUCGGUUCUAUUUUGUUGGUUUCUAGAGCUGAAGUAAUGAUUAAUAGGGAUAGUUGGGGGCAUUCGUAUUUAACUGUCAGAGGUGAAAUUCUUGGAUUUGUUAAAGACGGACGACUGCGAAAGCAUUUGCCAAGGAUGUUUUCAUUGAUCAAGAACGAAAGUUAGGGGAUCGAAGACGAUCAGAUACCGUCCUAGUCUUAACCAUAAACUAUGCCGACUAGAGAUUGGAGGUCGUUAUCUGUACGACUCCUUCAGCACCUUAUGAGAAAUCAAAGUCUUUGGGUUCCGGGGGGAGUAUGGUCGCAAGGCUGAAACUUAAAGGAAUUGACGGAAGGGCACCACCAGGAGUGGAGCCUG
rnacentral:rRNA from 1 species